UACGUAGGGGGCUAGCGUUGUCCGGAAUCAUUGGGCGUAAAGAGCGUGUAGGCGGCCAGAUAAGUCCGGUGUGAAAGUCAAAGGCUCAACCUUUGAAUGCCGCUGGAAACUGUCUGGCUAGAGUCCGGGAGGGGCGAGUGGAAUUCCUGGUGUAGCGGUGAAAUGCGCAGAUAUCAGGAGGAACACCAAUGGCGAAGGCAGCUCGCUGGAACGGUACUGACGCUGAGGCGCGAAAGCGUGGGGAGCAAACGGG
rnacentral:rRNA from 1 species